GACGAACGCUGGCGGCGUGCUUAACACAUGCAAGUCGAACGGAAAGGCCCUGCUUUUGUGGGGUGCUCGAGUGGCGAACGGGUGAGUAACACGUGAGUAACCUGCCCUUGACUUUGGGAUAACUUCAGGAAACUGGGGCUAAUACCGGAUAGGAGCUCCUGCUGCAUGGUGGGGGUUGGAAAGUUUCGGCGGUUGGGGAUGGACUCGCGGCUUAUCAGCUUGUUGGUGGGGUAGUGGCUUACCAAGGCUUUGACGGGUAGCCGGCCUGAGAGGGUGACCGGCCACAUUGGGACUGAGAUACGGCCCAGACUCCUACGGGAGGCAGCAGUGGGGAAUAUUGCACAAUGGGCAGAAGCCUGAUGCAGCAACGCCGCGUGCGGGAUGACGGCCUUCGGGUUGUAAACCGCUUUCGCCUGCGACGAAGCGUGAGUGACGGUAAUGGGUAAAGAAGCACCGGCUAACUACGUG
rnacentral:rRNA from 1 species